rnacentral:rRNA from 3 species
GAUUCAUAAUAACUUAACGAAUCGCAUGGCCUUGCGCCGGCGAUGGUUCAUUCAAAUUUCUGCCCUAUCAACUUUCGAUGGUAGGAUAGUGGCCUACCAUGGUUUCUACGGGUAACGGGGAAUUAGGGUUCUAUUCCGGAGAGGGAGCCUGAGAAACGGCUACCACAUCCAAGGAAGGCAGCAGGCGCGCAAAUUACCCAAUCCCGACACGGGGAGGUAGUGACAAUAAAUACUGAUGGAGAGCUCUUUUGGGUUUUCUAGUUGGAAUGAGUACAAUUUAAAUUUCUUAACGAGGAACAAUUGGAGGGCAAGUCUGGUGCCAGCAGCCGCGGUAAUUCCAGCUCCAAUAGCGUAUAUUAAAGUUGUUGCAGUUAAAAAGCUCGUAGUUGAAACUCAGGCCUGGCUGGCCGGUCCGCCUCACCGCGAGCACUGGUUCGGCCGGGCUUUUUCCUUCUGGGGAGCCGCAUGCCCUUCACUGGGUGCGUUGGGGAACCAGGACUUUUACUUUGAAAAAAUUAGAGUGUUCAAAGCAGGCAUAUGCUCGGAUACAUUAGCAUGGAAUAAUAGAAUAGGACGUGUGGUUCUAUUUUGUUGGUUUCUAGGACCGCCGUAAUGAUUAAUAGGGAUAGUCGGGGGCAUCAGUAUUCAAUUGUCAGAGGUGAAAUUCUUGGAUUUAUUGAAGACUAACUACUGCGAAAGCAUUUGCCAAGGAUGUUUUCAUUAAUCAGUGAAC